AUUUUGCUGACGGGCUGCCGGACAGCAGCGGAAAGCCCGCAGCGACGAAGGAGCGAGGACUUGAAGCGGAUGGCCGGAACAAAA
rnacentral:misc_RNA from 1 species